CUAGAUGUAGUCAAGCAUUCUAUCAACCCAUGGAUAACCACAGUUCCAACACUCUAAUAAGUCGCUUAUAAUUCCAUUGCUCCAAAACCAAAACCUUUGGAAACCAAAAUUUUCAACAUAUAACCAGAAUUAUCAAACUUGUUCUUGGUCUCACUCUUGAUAAAUGCAAAAUGCUUAUCAACCUUCUGCAAAAACCGUCUCUUCAAUCUACCGUUG
rnacentral:lncRNA from 1 species